rnacentral:misc_RNA from 1 species
GUAGGUGAACCUGCGGAAGGAUCAUUACCAAAUCCAAAAAACUUUAUCAACACCUUAUGUGCACUGAGAAUGGUUCCGUUCCCUGCCAACCGCUUUGUGGUGCAGGGGGGGAGAAGUGCGCUUCAUCGUGCGCUCCCCCUCUUCUGUUGAAGCGGGCAGGCAGGGAAUGUAUUUUUUUUUCAACACCUUUUCAACCAUAUACCCAUUAAAACAUGCUGAAAGCAACCAAAAAAAACGAAACAUGAGACAACUUUUAACGGUGGAUCUCUUGGCUCGU